rnacentral:rRNA from 1 species
CCUACGGGAGGCAGCAGUGGGGAAUAUUGGGCAAUGGCGGAAACUCUGACCCAGCCACGCCGCGUGAAUGUUGGUGCUCUACGGAUUGUAAAGUUCUUUUCUAAGGGAAGAAUAAUGUGCACGUACGUUCAGACUAAGCCUCGGCUAAAUUGGUGCACGCCGCCGCGGUAAUACGGAGGCGGCGAGCGUUAUCCGGUUUGAUUGGUAUUAAGGGGGGCGUAGGUGGGGUAAUAAGUAAGAUGUGAAAUCCUGUAGCUUAAGUAUAGAACUGCAUUUGAAACUGUUAUUCUGGAGUGUGGGGGAGGUAGGAGGAAUGCGUGGUGUAGGGGUAAAAUCCGUAGAGAUCAAGAGGAAUACUCAUUGCGAAGGCGACCUGCUGGAACAUUACUGACGCUGAUGCACGAAAGCGUGGGGAGCAAACAGGAUUAGAUACCCGAGUAGUC